AGAGAAAAGUCACUGACUGACUGACUGAGCGGGGGAGUGGCGCAAAACUGUUCGCUUGUCUAUAUUAUUACUGAUCAAGCAGGUUAUUCUAUCAAAGAUACAUUGAAACCUUCUGUAAUGAAGGGAAAUUCUGAAGAAUAAUUGAAGAGGAGAAAAUUGGAAGUCUUUAAAAUUGCAUGAUAUGAAUAAAGACAAGAAUAUAGCAAGUAUUCGACACAUCAGUAAUGUUACAACGGAAGCUGGAGGAGUGCACAGUCCCUCUCGAUCCACUACUUCAAGAGCAACAACAUAGAAUUACUUUUUACUAUUGCUUCAGGCUUUAAACAAUAAUAUCUAUCAACUAGAUUUCUUAAAAUUUAUUGGUUUAUUACCAAAAGAAACUAUUGAAACAACUUAUUGAAUAGUGAUGUAAUAAUUGCUUAACAUACACAAUUAGUAAUAAAGAAUUAUGAUUGCAUAUCCCUCCAAACAUCCCUCCUAUAAAAACACACACUCUCAUUCUUCAGGAGAAAAAGAAAAAUAAAGCGAUUUUCUCUGAGAUUCACCUCCUGAGGAAAAGAAAUUGGCCAAUGGGUUACUCAUGAAGGCAAAAUUGUAGUGUAUAGAAUGUUUUGGAGUCUGUUGCUCAGGUAAGUGGUCAAUUACUAGUCAUGUAUAGUUGUGUCUGAGGUCUGGUGGAUUUGUAAUCUGGAGAUUUUCCUUUUAAUCACUUUUUUCAAAAGAAUUAACACAUUUCCGCCUGAAUUCUAUUAGUUUUAAAGGAGUGAUGG